rnacentral:rRNA from 1 species
UACGAAGGGGGCUAGCGUUGCUCGGAAUUACUGGGCGUAAAGGGCGCGUAGGCGGAUGUUUAAGUCGGGGGUGAAAGCCCGGGGCUCAACCUCGGAAUUGCCUUCGAUACUGGACAUCUUGAGUACGGGAGAGGAGAGUGGAAUUCCUGGUGUAGCGGUGAAAUGCGGCAGAUAUCAGGAAGAACACCCGUGCUAAGGCGGCUCUCGUAGUACGGUACUGACGCUGAGACGCGAAAGCGUGGGGAGCGAACAGG